UUUAUUUGGAAAUGGGUAUAAAACUUCCAUCUAAAAGUAUGGGGUUUGAGUCACUCUAAAGUUACUUUUCAAUCUGUUUGGAGGGAGGAGUUUUGCAGAGGGGGGUUAGAAAGUGAAGUAUUCAGACACUACGGAGGCGGGUCUGGAAGUGGUGUUCAGCUAAGAAUAUUUCUCCUGGUUCUUGCAGCUGAUGAUCCCUUUGGAAAGGGUGCUGGAAGUAAUAAGGAGCAUUAAGCGUAGCUUGCAGAAAACAAAACUCCCAAGAGCAGUCGUGGCUAACCUGCUUGUCUUGUUAGGAUCAGCUCUGCCUUGGCAGCAACGAACAUAGAGAAGAAGAGAUUCAAAUGGUGAGCUAAUCUUUCUCCUUGCAGACAGAGAGAAGAAGAGAGAGAAAAAAAUCUGGAACAAGCAGUCAAGACAGUUUGAAAAACAGGUUCCUGUUGGGAAUAGCCAUGAAAACACUGAAAGAUAGGAAACCUCCUGGAAAGCUGAGGAAAAGUUCAGAAAGUUUUUCAACAGCAAUACAUCGGCCGUGCGGAGAGACUGCUAUGGAUACUUUGGUGAGCAGGCAGGAGAAAGCUUUUUUUAUGGAACUCCCCUGCAGAGUCACUGCUUUCAGCCCAAGAAAGCGAAGUCAUUUCUGAGUCUUUUCAGAGAAGCCUUCUUCGCGGCACUGAAAAAUGCAGCGCCAGCCUUCGUUUGAUCUAGCUUCCUUAAGGACAAAAAGCAAAAGCACACCUCUGCUCCAUCUGCAUCUCACUAUCUGCCUUUACCCUGCCUGGGCUCCUUCCCUGCUAUCGGAAUCAGGGGUGGAAAAAGCAAAAGAAACUCUUAAGGAAAGCAAACUUCACUUUUCAUUGGAGCUGUAAGGUACCUACAGCGGCACAUGCACUUUUUUGUUGGUAUUUGCCCCGCAAUCCUCCAUGCAUCUGCUUAGCAGUAAAGCCUGACUGGUUCAGCAGGAUUCACUCCCAGAGAAAGGUGUUUAUGAGGGUUGCAGCAUAAAGCGCCAGGAAUUCUGCCAGCUGUCGUUGGAGAAAUGGAGAAGGAUAAUGUAUCCUGGAGAAGCUCCUGAAAUGGAUCCAUCUUCACCAGCUGAUCAAAGAUAUCAAGAAACAUGCCCCCAACUGCAAGCUGGAGAUCUUCCAGAAGGUCAUGCAGUCCAUUGAGAAAAAAACCCAUGCCAGAUGCCCUCCAUGGACUGAACCAUCCUGGCCAAGAGUCUGCUCUAUUUUUCCCCAG